rnacentral:rRNA from 1 species
AUUGAACGCUGGCGGCAGGCCUAACACAUGCAAGUCGAGCGGAUGAAGGGAGCUUGCUCCUGGAUUCAGCGGCGGACGGGUGCGUAAUGCCUAGGAAUCUGCCUUGUAGUGGGGGAUAACGUCCGGAAACGGGCGCUAAUACCGCAUACGACCUGAGGGAGAAAGUGGGGGAUCUUCGGACUUCACGCUAUCAGAUGAUCCUAGGUCGGAUUAGAUAGUUGGUGGGGUAAAGGCCUACCAAGGCGACGAUCCGUAACUGGUCUGAGAGGAUGAUCAGUCACACUGGAACUGAGCCACGGUACAGACUCCUACGGGAGGCAGCAGUGGGGAAUAUUGGACAAUGGGCGAAAGCCUGAUCCAGCCAUGCCGCGUGUGUGAAGAAGGUCUUCGGAUUGUAAAGCACUUUAAGUUGGGAGGAAGGGCAGUAAGUUAAUACCUUGCUGUUUUGACGUUACCAACAGAAUAAGCACCGGCUAACUUCGUG